rnacentral:rRNA from 1 species
CGUUGUYCGGAUUUUUUGGGCGUAAAGCGAGCGCAGGCGGGCCGGKAAGUCUGAUGKGACAAGCCCACGGCUCAACCGGGGAACGGCAUUGGAAACCGGCGGGMCCUGAAUGUAGCAGAGGAAAGUGGAAHUCCAUGUGUAGCGGKGGAAUUUGUAGAUAUAUGGAGGAACACCAGUGGCGAAAGCGACUUUCUGGGCUAUGAUUGACGCUGUAGGCUCGAAAGCGUGGGGAGCGAACAGGAUUAGAUACCCUGGUAGUCCACGCCGUAAACGAUGAGUGCUAAGUGUUGGAGGGUUUCCGCCCUUCAGUGCUCGAGUUAACGCAUUAAGCACCCCGCCUGGGGRUUACGACCGCAAGGUUGAAACUCAAAAGAAUUGACGGGGACCCGCACAAGCGGUGGAGCAUGUGGUUUAAUUCGAAGCAACGCGAAGAACCUUACCAGCUCUUGACAUCUUCUGCCACCUUCAGAGAUGAAGGGUUCCUUCGGGGACAGAAUGACAGGUGGUGCAUGGUGGUCGUCAGCUCGUGUCGUGAGAUGUUGGGUUAAGUCCCGUAACGAGCGCAACCCUUAUUGUUAGUUGCCAGCAUUGAGUUGGGCACUCUAGCAAGACUSSCCGGUGAUAAACCGGAGGAAGGCGGGGAUGACGUCAAAUCAUCAUGCCCCUUAUGAGCUGGRAAACACACGUGCUACAAUGGAUGGUACAACGAGUGGCGAGACCGCGAGGUUUAGCUAAUCUCCCAAAGCCAUUCUCAGUUCGRAUUGCAGGCUGCAACUCGCCUGCAUGAAGUCGGAAUCGCUAGUAAUCGCGGAUCAAAAUGCCGCGGGUGAAUUCGUUCCCGGGUC